AAAAAUUUAGUUAAAAAAUAACGUCAACUUGUCAUGUUGAAAUUAAUAAUAAAUAUUAAUUUUUU
rnacentral:tRNA from 1 species